rnacentral:rRNA from 1 species
ACAGCAGCCGCCACGGUAAUACGAAGGGGGCUAGCGUUGUUCGGAAUUAUUGGGCGUGAAGCGCGCGCAGGCGGUUUCUUAAGUCUGAUGUGAAAGCCCCCGGCUCAACCGGGGAGGGUCAUUGGAAACUGGGAAACUUGAGUGCAGAAGAGGAGAGUGGAAUUCCACGUGUAGCGGUGAAAUGCGUAGAGAUGUGGAGGAACACCAGUGGCGAAGGCGACUCUCUGGUCUGUAACUGACGCUGAGGAGCGAAAGCGUGGGGAGCGAACAGGAUUAGAUACCCCCGUAGUCCCUGUCUCUUAUAC